GGACCGGGAGUCGCUGGCGGGGUCGGGAUAGUCCCUGGCGGGAUCGGGAUCGGGAUCGGGAUCGGGAUCGGGAUCGGGGCUGCGCUCCCAGCACGGUUCGUGGUUCGGCCGCGGCGGGCCCGGACCCGCGGGUUCCGCACGGGAACGUCCGGCUGCGGCUGGGGCGCUGUAUUUACUUGGAGUGCUGCCCUGUUUUAGCUCGAGGUGUGUUACGGGCAUUGAGUCAGUUACUCCAGGACGAGAGGUUUGCUUAAUAUUUCCAGCUCUGCUGGUUUUGCAACCGAGAGGGGCCAGAGUUUGUUGUUUUUAAACUUGGAUUUGGAUAUUACAUAACUCGGGGAGCUGGAGCGCCGAGCACGUGCCCGGGCCUUAAUUCCUUUUGCCCAAGGAUAUGUCAAACUUCUUGGCAACGCUGUGGAUGAGAAGUCCAGAAGAAAACUGCUCCUUGUAAUGAAACGUUCUACUGUGUACAUCUCCUAAUGUCCUGUUUGUCCAUGCCAAAGGGGCACAUUUUGCCUUCUGGAUAUAUAGACUUGUAGACAGAGGAAGCAUGAAGAAAAUAUCACUUUCAUCUUUACAGAAAAUGGUGAGAUAACAAGUACAGGAAAACAGACAGGAAGGCUUGACAAGGGUUAAGCAGCAGCAAUGAAAAGAUCACUGGGAUUACAACUGUGCAGAUGAGCUGCAGAAGGAGAAUUGUUUAGUUGUGAGAAGGCAGAAAUGGAGAAGAGAGCAGGAGUGUGGAGAGGAAGUCGCCUUGAUCACAGGAUUUCCGUCAGAGACACUCUGCACUGGAAGAGCAAGCAUGGGUGGAGCAAGCAGUGAAGAUAAGCUGGUGCUGUGGCACAUCGCUGGCCUACAGAAGUUAGGGAAGAUGCUUCAGACGAGCCUUUUAGUUAUCAGAAAUAUUAUUUCAAGCACUAUAAAGAAAAUAAACAUAAUUAUAUUAACACAUUGUUUUAAGGUCAGGUUUAUGAAAUCCAAGGCUUUAGAAGAAACCUUUAAGAUUCUACUACUGUAGAACAUCUGUUUUUUUGGAGCACAUAAUGUUAUUCUCUCUUAACAUGUGGGGCCACUUUAAAUUUGUGUUUCUGCAUCAUUAAACCAUCGUGGGAAGUGCAGGCGGAGGAAGCCCGGGUAAUUGGCUGCAGCUCCAGAUGCAGCCACUCGCUCAUUGGAGAGAGGAGGAUUCUCCCAGUACUAAAAUUAGACCAUCUCUGCCCUCCAGAAAUGCUUCUGGAAACAGCAAGCAGGAGAAAUUGUGACACAGCCCCAGGCCCCGUGGUGGGCAGGGAUCUGCACAGGGCCCUGCUCUCGGCCAAACUGCAGCCUCGGGAAGGUGCGUUGGGGUUUAUGUCCUGUGUGGCUGGGAGAAAAUGCACACAAUAAAGAAACUGCAACAGAUUCACGUUAACAGUGAAACACAGAUAUUAAAUUCAGCAUUUCUUAUGUAAUAAUAAUUCUGAAGUGUUCAUGCAGGCAGAGGAAGCCUUUGAACUGCUAAAUUUAAGCAAGGGCUGUCAGACUUGUGCUCAUUGACUUUAAAAAGAAAUGACUUGCUGAAUUAACUCUGAACUAAACUGAAAAACUGAUGGGCUCUUUCUAUCAGCACUUCUUAAAAAAUAAAACGUGUUUACCCGUUACCUCUGUGAAGUUGCAGUGUUUACAAUGUCUUCAAAUGAAAUACUGGAUAAGGUAUUUCUGUUAAAGAAACAAAUGCCAUGUGCCCGUGUUGUUGAAGGAGAGUCUGUAUCUGAAUUUGUCUUGUACACUUGGAACCUUUAUUUUUAAGGUGUAUGAAUAACAAUAUCAGUCUUUGCUUUUAAAAUAUAUUUCAAGUUGGCUGCAAGGAAAUAACUGCCUAUUUUCAUUUCUUGCUUCUAUAUUUAUAUUAUUCACAUUAAUCAUGAAAAAGAUUAUUUUUUAGUUUUCUUAGACUAAAACCAGCUUUUGCUGUACUUUUGCUAAUUCCUCAUCUAACCAGGGCACAUUGUGUCAGCACCUCUGGCUCCAAAACCUUGGGGGUUUUUUGUCUUUUCUCCU